rnacentral:rRNA from 1 species
UACGGGGGGGGCAAGCGUUGUUCGGAAUUACUGGGCGUAAAGGGCGCGUAGGCGGCCUACUAAGUCGAACGUGAAAUCCCCGGGCUCAACCCGGGAACUGCGUCCGAUACUGGUUGGGCUUGAAUCCGGGAGAGGGAUGUGGAAUUCCAGGUGUAGCGGUGAAAUGCGUAGAUAUCUGGAGGAACACCGGUGGCGAAGGCGGCAUCCUGGACCGGUAUUGACGCUGAGGCGCGAAAGCCAGGGGAGCAAACGGG